AUACGGAGGGUGCGAGCGUUAAUCGGAAUUACUGGGCGUAAAGCGCGCGUAGGCGGUUUGGUCAGUCGGAUGUGAAAGCCCCAGGCUCAACCUGGGAAUGGCAUUCGAUACUGCCUGACUAGAGUAUGGUAGAGGGAAGUGGAAUUUCCGGUGUAGCGGUGAAAUGCGUAGAUAUCGGAAGGAACACCAGUGGCGAAGGCGACUUCCUGGGCCAAUACUGACGCUAAGGUGCGAAAGCGUGGGGAGCAAACAGGAUUAGAAACCCUGGUAGUCC
rnacentral:rRNA from 1 species